GUAGGUGGCAAGCGUUGUCCGGAAUUACUGGGCGUAAAGCGCGCGCAGGCGGUUCUUUAAGUCUGAUGUGAAAGCCCACGGCUCAACCGUGGAGGGCCAUUGGAAACUGGAGAACUUGAGUACAGAAGAGGAAAGCGGAAUUCCACGUGUAGCGGUGAAAUGCGUAGAGAUGUGGAGGAACACCAGUGGCGAAGGCGGCUUUCUGGUCUGUAACUGACGCUGAGGCGCGAAAGCGUGGGGAGCAAACAGGAUUAGAUACCCUGGUAGUCCACGCCGUAAACGAUGAGUGCUAAGUGUUAGGGGGGUUUCCGCCCCCCUUAGUGCUGCAGCUAACGCAUUAAGCACUCCGCCUGGGAGUACGGCCGCAAGGCUG
rnacentral:rRNA from 1 species